UACGUAGGGUGCAAGCGUUAAUCGGAAUUACUGGGCGUAAAGCGUGCGCAGGCGGUGAUGUAAGACAGAUGUGAAAUCCCCAGGCUCAACCUGGGAACUGCAUCCGAUACUGGAUGGCUUGAAUCCGGGAGAGGGAUGCAGAAUUCCAGGUGUAGCGGUGAAAUGCGUAGAUAUCUGGAGGAAUACCGGUGGCGAAGGCGGCAUCCUGGACCGGCAUUGACGCUGAGGAGCGAAAGCCAGGGGAGCAAACGGG
rnacentral:rRNA from 1 species